AAUAUAUAGCUAACCUGCCCUUUAGUGGGGGACAACAGUUGGAAACGACUGCUAAUACCCUAUACUCUUCUUACUAUAAGGUAAGUUGGGAAAGAUUUAUCGCUAAAGGAUGGGGCUUUAUUGUAUCAGCUAGUUGGUGGGGUAAUGGCCUACCAAGGCUAUGACGCAUACCUGGUCUGAGAGGAUGAUCAGGCACACUGGAACUGAGACACGGUCCAGACUCCUACGGGAGGCAGCAGUGGGGAAUAUUGCACAAUGGAGGAAACUCUGAUGCAGCAACGCCGCGUGGAGGAUGACGCAUUUCGGUGUGUAAACUCCUUUUAUAGGGGAAGAUAAUGACGGUACCCUAUGAAUAAGCACCGGCUAACUCCGUGCCAGCAGCCGCGGUAAUACGGAGGGUGCAAGCGUUACUCGGAAUCACUGGGCGUAAAGGAUGCGUAGGCUGGAAAUCAAGUCGAGAGUGAAAUCCAACGGCUCAACCGUUGAACUGCUCUCGAAACUGGUUACCUAGAAUAUGGGAGAGGUAGAUGGAAUUAGUGGUGUAGGGGUAAAAUCCGUAGAUAUCACUAGGAAUACCGAUUGCGAAGGCGAUCUACUGGA
rnacentral:rRNA from 1 species